CUGUAACAGAGGAGGGGCGAAAUUCUCCUGAAGAAUGUCUCUGGCUGCUGAGAGCAGAGCUCAACAAUCUCUGACUUGUUUUUCUUUCUUUGUCUGAGAAAAAAAAAAAACUUACCUCCCACUUCUUUGCAGCCUUGGGCUUGCUGGCCCAGGGCUGCUGCAACACCCAGAUGUGUUCCGGCCUUCUCCACGACACCACAUGUCUAUCGGCGAACUUCCUCAACUCUGGCGUCAGCGGCGUCGGUUGAUGAAGAAGCUGUCCACUCCUCCUCUCUGAGCAUCUGUUGAAGAGGCCUUACUGUUCUUCCUCUGUGGUUUUCCACAAACGGUAGCUCAGGUAGCCACUUCCUGCGUAGCACAGUGUGGCCAGAAAUGCAAAGAACUGAAAGCAGAAAGGAUUUGAAGGCGAAAAGACAAACAAGGGUUUACGUAAAUUCUGAAAGGUACAAACACGUUUUUUAACAAGAAGAAAAAUGUGUCCACAAUCAAAGAACCGAUAAAAUGUCCACUUUUCCAGAAGAGAACAGCUCUCUGACCAA